UCUAGCUUCAAAUUUCAAUAUCCUGCAACCUAAAAUUCAACUCCAACCUAAAACCCCCAAAUUCAACUCGCCUCCUUUUGCAAUUCUUAAAUUCAAAUCGCCUCCUUUUGCGAUUCUCAAACUCAUCUCUCUCUCACACCAAAAUAUGGUGGAAUGUCCAUGGAUGAAGAAGCUAUUAGCCUUGAAAUUGCCUUCGUUGCUAGAUUUGUCUGGUUCCCGAUUCAGUUUGAGGUCAUGGUAGAAACCAUAGAUGAGAAAACCAGCAAGCACGAGUGUGAAUUGGAGUUACCUUGAUUAAGCGCAUUAGGGAAGGAAUCGACGCAUUUAGUUGGAGCAAGAACAAUCAAUCCAGAUACUCAAACGUCAUUAUUGCAACUAGAAUCUACCACUCAACAACCUAAGAAAAAAGAGAAGAGCACCAAAGUAUAAGAAGCGAGAAGUGCGCAACCAGGAAGAGUUGAUGAUAUGCGUCAAGAGGCAUUAGAUCGGUUGUACUAAGGUGUGCUAUGAGUAAGUGGAUGAGCAAGGCCAAGAACUUUGUUUGACACCAGCACUCUCGAAGAACACCUAGCGGAAUAUUUCAUAAACAAAAUGGUGGUUGAUUGACUCAGUGUCUCUGAUCUUGCAGAAUAGGCUGUUGUUUUUGUGUGUUGUGCUGCUCUCGAUGCUCUUAUGUUGUUCCAAUUCUUGUUGUCCUAUGGAUGGGUGAUCUGCAGUAUACUCUACGCAUUGUUGUUGUUUUUCUUGAAGGUUGAAGGUGGCUGCAGAUAUGAAGAAGAGUUACAUGUAGCAUGUGUGUGGUUAGUUUGUACAAUGCUAUUUUUUACCGACUUGGUUUGACUUUGGUAGUUUUUGUUUCUUUGUGGUUUUUUUUUGUACUGGUUUUAUAGAUUGGUUGGCUUGCUUAGUUUUAUGUAGUUUUAGGCUUGCAGGUUGUUGCACGGUAUAGGGUGUUUUAUUUGGUUGAGGUUGUACAAAUAUUUGGUUCGCUUUUGGUUAAUAAUUUUACUUAUUUACAAAA